AAUGAAAGGAAAAAAAAAAAGGGUGAGAGAGGAGAAGCUUGUUUUCUUUUCUCUUUCUCAUUUUGCGUUCAUUCUCUUGUGUAAAUUGAAAGAGAGAAAAGCAAUUUUAAGUUGAAGUAGAAGAGGGCCGAGAGGUGAUUUGUAGGGGGAGAAUUUUCAUAAGGGUGAAGAAGAUAGGAGAACCGAGCACUUGAGUUGAAAGCAAAGGAGAAAGUUACCCAUCCCCCUCGAGACAUCAGCUAGUGUUUGAUAUUUAUCCUUGUGCGCGCAUUGAGAUGGUCCAUCCUACUGAACGAUUGGGAUAUCCUACUCGUGCAAGACAGACGCCUGAUGAGCUCCGGGUGGGAUUACACCAGGCGGUUAUUGGUCGAUGUGGGAUUUUGGACGCCCCGAGGGUAGACCGUGGGCGAGAUUAUAUUUGAUACCAUAUCAUGACAGCCCGAGGGUAGACUGUGGGUCGAGCAUGGUUAUCCAGUGAUGUUCGUACCAUCCCAAGGGUAGACUGCGGAUGGUGCCACCCCGAGGGUAGAUUGCAGGUAGUGUAGCUUCAUGUCUGAGUUAAGGACUGGUUCGGAUAGUUAUGAUCCAGGUCCCUAAGUGCUAGUAGGGUGGUGAUAAUUGAUUUAUUUUAUAUGAUAGUGGUGUGUGAUUUCAUGGCAUCCAAGAAUAAAAUAUGGUGUUCGUUGCCUCAUCAUGUAAGUGCAUUAGUGUUGUGUGGCAUGCAACUAGAUUAUUCAUGCAUGUUUUCAAAGUUAAAGUUAUUUUCGCAGCUCACUGUUUAUGUUUCCUCCCCUAGGAUCAUAGAUCGGGUUCAUGUGGAGCAUACUCGAUGCCCUAGGUUAGCCUUGACGCAUGAUGAUUUGCAUCUUUUACAAACUUUAGUGGACUCUGAUAUUAUGUUUCUUUUUGUAACCGGAUUUUUAGUUCUCGCUUUUAGAAUAAUUAUUUGUGUAUUUCCGCUUUCUAAAACUUAA